GCGCCGGAAGCUCAUUUGGCAGAGCAUUGCGACGGUACCUCACGGUCCCGGGUUCAAACCCCGGCCGACGCU